rnacentral:misc_RNA from 1 species
GAUGAAGAACGUAGUGAAAUGCGAUAAGUAAUGUGAAUUGCAGGAUUCAGUGAAUCAUCGAAUCUUUGAACGCACAUUGCGCCUCCUGGUAUUCCGGGAGGCAUGCCUGUUCGAGCGUCAUUAAAAACCAUCAAGCACUCUUGCUUGGACUUGGGAGAUGAGUGCCAUACGGCCCUCACUGCCGAAAUUGAAUGGCGGAUAGCCUUGGGGUGCCCCAGCGUAGUAAGUCUUCUUUCGCUUGGAACCCGAGAUGGUCCCCGCCCUCAACCCCCACAUUUCUAUGGUUGACCUCGGAUCAGGUAGGGAUACCCGCUGAACUUAAGCAUAUCAAUAAGCGGAGGA